rnacentral:sRNA from 1 species
UCGGGGUCUGUAAAGACCAUCGUGUGCAG